rnacentral:rRNA from 1 species
GUGGGGAAUAUUGGACAAUGGGCGAAAGCCUGAUCCAGCCAUGCCGCGUGUGUGAAGAAGGUCUUCGGAUUGUAAAGCACUUUAAGUUGGGAGGAAGGGCAGUAAGCUAAUACCUUGCUGUUUUGACGUUACCGACAGAAUAAGCACCGGCUAACUCUGUGCCAGCAGCCGCGGUAAUACGAAGGGUGCAAGCGUUAAUCGGAAUUACUGGGCGUAAAGCGCGCGUAGGUGGUUUUGUAAGUUGGAGGUGAAAUCCCCGGGCUCAACCUGGGAACUGCCUCCAAAACUGCAUGACUAGAGUACGGUAGAGGGUAGUGGAAUUUCCUGUGUAGCGGUGAAAUGCGUAGAUAUAGGAAGGAACACCAGUGGCGAAGGCGACUACCUGGACUGAUACUGACACUGAGGUGCGAAAGCGUGGGGAGCAAACAGGAUUAGAUACCCCAGUAGUCC